rnacentral:rRNA from 1 species
UUCGUAGGCGGUGCGGCAAGUUGGGAGUGAAAUCUCUGGGCUCAACCCAGAGGCUGCUUCCAAAACUGCUGUGCUUGAGUGUGAGAGAGGCUCGUGGAAUUGCAGGUGUAGCGGUGAAAUGCGUAGAUAUCUGCAGGAACACCCGUGGCGAAAGCGGCGAGCUGGAUCACUACUGACGCUGAGGAACGAAAGCUAGGGGAGCAAACAGGAUUAGAUACCCUGGUAGUCCUAGCCCUAAACGAUCAGGACUUGGGGUGCCGCCCGUUCGGGCGUCGUCCCGGAGCUAACGCGUUAAGUCCUGCACCUGGGGAGUACGGUCGCAAGACUGAA